CAAUAGCGUAUAUUUAAGUUGUUGCAGUUAAAAAGCUCGUAGUUGGAUUUUGGGUCGGGGGCACCGGUCCGCCGUUCCGGUGUGCACUGGUGGCCCCUUCCUUUCUGCCGGGGACGUGCGUCGCCCUUAAUUGGGUGGCGUUCGGAGUCGGCGUUGUUACUUUGAAAAAAUUAGAGUGUUCAAAGCAAGCCAUCGCUCUGAAUACAUUAGCAUGGAAUAACAUGAUAGGACUCCGGUCUUAUUUUGUUGGUUUCCGAGACUGGAGUAAUGAUUAAGAGGGACAGUCGGGGGCAUCCGUAUUUCAUUGUCAGAGGUGAAAUUCUUGGAUUUAUGAAAGACGAACUUCUGCGAAAGCAUUUGCCAAGGAUGUUUUCAUUAA
rnacentral:rRNA from 1 species